GUUUAUGUUCUAGUAAGUUAAUAUUCUAGUUUAUGUUCUAGUAAGUUUUUUAUAGUUUAGAUUGUAGUAAGUUAAUAUUCUAGUAUAUAUUUGUCACAGUAUCCACCGAGGAUGGCGCCCCUCCUCGGUCGGGCGGCGCUCGGCGGUCGUCGUCGCCGGUCUACUAGCUGCCACCGAUCUAUGUUUCUGUGUUCUUUGUUUUUUGUCUGAUCUAGACCGCACCUGUCUCUUGUCUGUCAUUAGUGGGGAGGUAUUUAGUUUGUUUCUUUGGGUUCGUCUCUGUGCGGGAUUGUUUGUUCGUCAGCGGGCAGGUAUGUGAACGGUCUGUGCUUUUGCACAAUUCUCCCCCAGCGGAUUCCUGCUAGAGGAAUGUUGUAUUUGCCGGGCUGCGCCCCGUGCGUAUUUUUGUUUUCUCGGGGUUUACUGUGUUCUCUGGGCGCACCCUAUGCCCUUUUGUUACGCCGAGUGGUUUUUCGGUGCAAUAAAUAUACCGUUCUACGACACUACUGGACUACGUCUCCUGCUUUUGACUCUGCCCUUUCCUCCUGCCUUAAGAAACCGUGACAAUAUUGUAGUAAGUUCACAUUCUAGUUUAUGUUCUCGUAAGGUCAUAUUCUAGUUUAUGUUCUAGCAAGUUUUUUAUAGUUAUAUUGUAGGAAGUAUAUAUUCUAGAUUAUGUAAUCAAGCAAUAAAAAUAAUGUCUGAAAUGUCUAUGUCAAAAUUUCUGAUUUCCUUACCUUUGACUAAGUUUUUUAAAAAAUUGUGUAGUCUUAGUGUAAAUUUAUCACAAUACGCCUGGUGACUUUUUUUUUUCCAGGUUCCACCAGCUAGAGGUGGAAGGUGUUGAUGGAAGUCCAUCCAUGUGCGUAAUGUGUCCAUUUUCAUUGGAAUUAGGUUCAUAACUAUCAUCACUGGAUUUCUGAUUACCUCUGAGAAUAACACUGCAACUAAAGCAGUUGCAUCAAAUUCAUUACGCAGAUGAAAAAGUAGUCCAUCUUGAUUUCCAGUGAUUAAGUAUAUAAGAGCCUGACGGAAGUCUAGUGACUUUGAUACCAGAUUAUCUAAUUGAGCAUAUGAGAGAAAUUCUGUCUUGCCCAUUUUAUUCUUGCAAAAAGACACUUUUAGACUUCCUGUUUUAAUAGCAGACGCAAUAUUGGGAUCCAUAAUUCUGUACAAAGGUUUAAUAUAGAGGUUUUCCAUAUUAACUGAAGAAAUAUAAAUCCCAGAAAUUAUGUAAAUGUUGUCCAUUUCAUUUUUUGAUCUAUUGUAAUGCAACAAGUAAUAAAUUACACUAAGAUAAUCGUAAAAACUUUUGAUGUAAAUUACAAUAGAUGCUUUGGAUGGUACAUCCAUUGAAUCAUUUACUAACAUAAUUUUUUUAUAAAAAAUACAAUCUCCAAAAUUAAAAUGUUGCUUUACUCGAUAAAUCAUUUUACUGAUAACCUUUAAGCAUUUCAAUUUUCUGGGAACAUUUUUUAAAUUAUUUUGAGUUGAAAUUUUAAUCUUCAAAUUUGUUUUUUUUGUAACUUUUAUGCCAAUAAAUGCGUUUUCAUUUUCUUUGUACUGAAACACAAAAAAUAAAUGGAACAGAAUUAGAUUAACCUUGUUACAUUAAACUAACUUGAAGAUAAAGGGAGUGGCAUGUUUUUCAAGCUUUCCAUACAGUCAUAUGUUGACAAACACUAUAUGUGAUCUUUUGAUAAACAGAUAAACAAACUCUUUUGAUAAACAGACUAUUGUAAUUACAACAUACUCUACAUGUAGGUUAACAUAGCUUUACCAGUUUAAUUAACUGUCAUCUAAAUGCUCAGAAUACGUUUUAAAAGAAUCUUACCCCCAUGUUGUUCCACUUCAGGUAUUGGAAAUGGACUGGUGUUGGUUAGGUGUUGGUUAUUCAUCAGCUUUAUUGGGUGGUCAAAUUGGGUGUGUCAUGUGUGGGUGUUUCUAAGUCUACAGUACACGGAUGCAUAUUCCUUCUUGUCCGCUCGCCUUUCUGUUCAGUUCCCUAUGAAACUUUAUAGAUUAAACUUUAUUUCAUGUGCAUUUGUAAAAUCGCAACACACUUCACAAUGAAAGAUGGCAAACAUUAGGCAUUAAAAUAAGUUAAACAACAACUUCAAUCUCCAGGAUCUCUCCCCUCUCUUCAAACAGGAAUAACAACAUAGUUAAGUGAUGACGCCAAAGAAGACACUGUUGUUCAGAAGAGCUAGCCAACAACACAACUAACACAAUCACUUCAAACUGAAGCUGGAAAGACAGCAAACUAGCUGGAGAUCGAAUUUGAAUGUUGAAAUAAUGUUGCAAAUGUCAGAGACAGACAGCAACGUUUGUACAAAUUCUCCAGUGUUGAAAACUAACUGUGAGACGGCCCACAGUCCGGAGCCGAGAGGGAGACGGCCCACAGUCCGGAGCCGAGAGGGAGACGGCCCACAGUCCGGAGCCGAGAGGGAGACGGCCCACAGUCCGGAGCCGGCGCAGCCAGAGUCGUCCUUCAGCCCGAUGUCUCCAGCGAUGCGCCAUAGCCCAGAGACUUCGGGAGGGGUAAAAUUUAAUAAGUAUUUAGCGGGGGUGGACAGGUUAGGUUGGAGUAAGGCCGGAGCCUGACCCACCUCCGUAGUAGGAGG